CUUAAUUUUUCCUUAGCUCUUUAAAAUAGGUGGCUUUAGUGUUUGGGUGAAAACUAUGUGGGCUAUUUUUACUUUUAGGAAUAGUUUUGCUUGUGGAAUCCUUAAUGGAACUUGGAAAGGUACACCGGAGAUGCAUCUAAUUUUACUAGUACUAUGAAUCUAGGGGUAUUUGAGGUUGGCAGCGUUGCCAGAUAUUUUUCUACCACUUAUGCCAUUGGGAAAUCAUGUCUGCAGUUGGUUUAAUGUGAUUAUCCAUCAUCUAACAGACCUUUUAUUUUUAUGGCUAUUGUCUAAGAUGUUGGCAUCCACAAAAUUGUGCAGCUUGCCAAGAAGUAUCAUCCAGAUGCAAAUAAGAAUAAUCCUUUUGCAAAGAGUGAAUUUCAAGAGAUAAGAGAUGCUUAUGAGAUUCUGCAAGAUUCUAAGAAGAGGGCUCAGUAUGACAUGGGUGAAGUAGAGGCUCGGAGAAUGUAGACUAUAAUACUGAUGGUGCAGAGGGGUUUAGAUAUGCUUAUCAAACUCAUUUCUCUGGUUCUUUCCAUAAAAUAUUCUUUGAGGGGAAAGUGGAUGGGCAUCAAAAAACAGUUUCAUAUCAAGAAUCACCAAUAAUGUCUACUUAUUUGGUGGCAGUUGUUAUUGGUUUGUUUGAUUAUGUGGAAGAUCACACAUCUGAUGGUGCUACCUAUUUUCCCUCGCCUUUUUGGCCUUCCAUUAGAAAAUUUCCAGAUGACACUUCCUCACAUACUACAGGGUUCAGCUCAUACUGGUCCAGCUUUAACUCCGGUACAAGUGUUGGUUGCAAUACAUGAAAUUGUUCCUGAGAGAGAUGGCCUUGCACUGAAAAAGGCAUGUCUCUUGUCAUUCUGAACUUAAUGGUCUUGGAACUUUACACUUUGGUUGACUGUGAUGGUGAUCUAUAAACUACACAUUCAGAUCAUACUUAUUCUUUCUAUCACCCUCUUGGUCCGUAACUGUUUUAUUCCUUUUCACCUAAUGGAUUGAUUUUUGUAAUAUGAUGUGCUAAGGCCGGAGAAAGCUUGUCCUAAUUUGUACACAGAGAAAAUAUUCAAACUGGAAUGCGGUUCCCUAGGUUGGGCUUGGUAGAGUAAUUAGUAGAAUUUUGGGGUUGCCCGAUUUGAAGCCAACCUAUUUCAACCAUCGUUGCUUAGUCCAAGCUAAGGCUGGAUUGGUGUCGCUUUAGAUUGUUUAAGUUCUGAUUAAAUAAUAAUGUCAUUAUGUUUGCUAUGUUUGAGGAAAACACUAAAUUGUGUGCUUUUGGAUCUAUGUUUAAUCUUUUACUGUUUUUGAGGAAAGAAAUAUACACAGAUGCAGAGAUCGAUGAAGUUAGAGGAGAAUGGGCAAUGUACGUAUCAAACUUUUUUUAGUUAUAGAUGUUUUCAUUGAUCCUUUUUUUAGUUAUAGAUGUUUUCAUUGAUGCCAAGGCGUUAAUGAGGGAAAAAAAUAUGUAUUAAACUUUUGUUGAAUGAUA